GCGCACGUGGUGAAACCGGUAGACACGCCAGCUUGAGGGGCUGGUGCUCUUACGAGUGUGGAGGUUCGAAUCCUCUCGUGCGCA
rnacentral:tRNA from 1 species